rnacentral:rRNA from 1 species
AGUCGAGGGGCACAUGGUCUUAGCUUGCUAAGGCUGAUGGCGACCGGCGCACGGGUGAGUAACACGUAUCCAACCUGCCGUCUACUCUUGGCCAGCCUUCUGAAAGGAAGAUUAAUCCAGGAUGGGAUCAUGAGUUCACAUGUCCGCAUGAUUAAAGGUAUUUUCCGGUAGACGAUGGGGAUGCGUUCCAUUAGAUAGUAGGCGGGGUAACGGCCCACCUAGUCAACGAUGGAUAGGGGUUCUGAGAGGAAGGUCCCCCACAUUGGAACUGGGACACGGUCCAAACUCCUACGGGAGGCAGCAGUGAGGAAUAUUGGUCAAUGGGCGAUGGCCUGAACCAGCCAAGUAGCGUGAAGGAUGACUGCCCUAUGGGUUGUAAACUUCUUUUAUAAAGGAAUAAAGUCGGGUAUGCAUACCCGUUUGCAUGUACUUUAUGAAUAAGGAUCGGCUAACUCCGUGCCAGCAGCCGCGGUAAUACGGAGGAUCCGAGCGUUAUCCGGAUUUAUUGGGUUUAAAGGGAGCGUAGAUGGAUGUUUAAGUCAGUUGUGAAAGUUUGCGGCUCAACCGUAAAAUUGCAGUUGAUACUGGAUGUCUUGAGUGCAGUUGAGGCAGGCGGAAUUCGUGGUGUAGCGGUGAAAUGCUUAGAUAUCACGAAG